GGGUUACAUAUGUUCCAUAUUCUAUAAUUCAGUCAAGACAUAUUCCAUUGAAAGAUCCAUGCCUCCAUGACAUAUCAAAAGUCCAUCUACAGGUCAUAGUCGAGACUAUCCAUUUAUUAAAGGCAACAAAUCAAUGAUCUGCGACUUUCCGACUACUGAACUCCCCAGUUACAAGAUCGAUACCAUAGGAAUACUGUGAUGAUCACCCAAUUCUUCAAUGGGAAGUGACGAUGGGACUCAUAUGUUUUCCUGUUACUCGUAUUCAGUUUUUCAGUCUUAUAAGAUUUCAGUUUCUAAUCAGAAAUAAAUGAUGAGCAAUAACAA